GUCAUAGUACUAUAGUGGUAGUAGAAUUUUCCAAAAAAAAGUAUAGUGAUAGUACGCAGCGUUGUGGCCGCCACGACCGCGGUUCGAUUCCGCGCUAUGACA